rnacentral:rRNA from 1 species
GACGAACGCUGGCGGCGUGCUUAACACAUGCAAGUCGAACGGAAAGGCCCUGCUUUUGUGGGGUGCUCGAGUGGCGAACGGGUGAGUAACACGUGAGUAACCUGCCCUUGACUUUGGGAUAACUUCAGGAAACUGGGGCUAAUACCGGAUAGGAGCUCCUGCUGCAUGGUGGGGGUUGGAAAGUUUCGGCGGUUGGGGAUGGACUCGCGGCUUAUCAGCUUGUUGGUGGGGUAGUGGCUUACCAAGGCUUUGACGGGUAGCCGGCCUGAGAGGGUGACCGGCCACAUGGGGACUGAGAGACGGCCCAGACUCCUACGGGAGGCAGCAGGGGGGAAUAUUGCACAAUGGGCGGAAGCCUGAGGCAGCAACGCCGCGUGCGGGAUGACGGCCUUCGGGUUGUAAACCGCUUUCGCCUGUGACGAAGCGUGAGUGACGGUAAUGGGUAAAGAAGCACCGGCUAACUACGUG